AACGAACGCUGGCGGCGUGGAUUAGGCAUGCAAGUCGAACGCGAAAGGGGAGCAAUCCCUGAGUAGAGUGGCGAACUGGUGAGUAACAGGUGGGCAAUGUGCCCCCAAAGUGGGGGAUAACUCCGAGAAAUCGGAGCUAAUACCGCAUGUGGUGUUACAGGCUUCGGCUCAUAACAUUAAAGACGUAAUUCGCUUUGGGAUCGGCCCG
rnacentral:rRNA from 1 species